UUUUUUUUUCUUUUUAGGGCCAUGUGGAAAUUCCCAGGCCAGGGGUCUAAUUGGAGCUGCAGCUGCUGUCCUAGACCACAGCCACAGCAACUUGGGAUCCAAGCCAUGUCUGCGACCUACACCACAGCUCACAGCAACAUCAGAUCCUUAAGCAGGGCCAGGGAUUGAAACCACAUCCUCAUGGAUGCUAGUUGGGUUUGUUACUUUUGAGCCACAAUGGGAACUCCCCAUUGCGGGAGUUUAAAAUUAAAAUCAGAUUUGUCAUUUUUAUUUUUUUAUCUUUAAGUGAUUUGAUCACUUAGGUCUGUUGGACACUAAGUCUUAUUUACUUUACCAUUAAACAAUGUGGCCUUCCCAGGUAGGUGGUUUGUAACACUGUACUUUUUUUCUUCCAAUACUGACCUGUAUGCAUCUGCUUAUGUACAGUUGUGUAAACAAAUAAGCCCCAAAGCACAAAUAGGCCACUCUCAGCAUCUUAUGUGGAAAUUUGAGGGGCAGCAAAGUAGGCUCGUGUGGCUAAAUUGAGGGAAAUGAGGCAGAGAGUAAUGUAAGGGACCGGAUUAAUAAAAGAAGACCAGCUUUUAUAGGAGCUUAUAGAUCUUUUACCUAUGGGCUUUUGCUCUGAACGAAAAGUACAGCUAUUGCAGAGUUUUGAACAGAUUGGACUGAAGGGCUUAGCAGUAUCUUUCCGGCUACUGGGUUGAAACUAGACAGUGGGAAGUCAAGGGUAGAAACAGGGGAACCAUUAGACGAUAUACUAAUUCCUUAGGACCAUAACAAAAUGCCACAAACCGGGUGUCUUAAAACAAUAGAAAUUCAUCUCACACUUCUGAAAGCUAGGGAUCUGAAAUCAAGGUGUCCUUAGGGCCAUUCUCCUUCUGAUUCUUUGGUUAGAAUCCUUCCUUGCCUCUCCUUAGCUUCUGGUGGUGGCUGUUGAUCCUUAGAAUUCCUUGGCUGGCAUCUGCAGCACUUCUGUCUGGGCCUCGCUCAUCACACGGCUUUCUCCCUGUAGGUUUCUGCCUUUGUGUGACUACCUUGUCUGUGUCUCUCUCCUGUUCUUUGGAGGAUACCAGCCAUAUUGGAUUAAGGGCCCAUCCUGCUCCAGUAUGACCUCAUCUUAACUUACUGAAUUACAUCUGCAUUGAUUCUAUUUCCAACUAAGCUCACAUUCUCAGGUAUUGAGUGUUGCAACUUCAACAUCUUUUGGGUGACACCUGUAAGCCCUUAACAGGAGGAUAUUGUGGUACUCUAAGCAAGAGAUAAAGGGAAACUUGGCCAGGGUGGCAGCAAUAGUGGUAGAGAGAAAUGAUCUAGUUAUGAGAAUAUGUUAAAUGUAGAGCCAAAAAGCUUUGCUGAUGAAUAGAGAUUGAGGCCUAAAUAAAGAAAUGAUCAAAGAUGACUCCAAGGUGUUUGACUUGAGGAACAUGAAGGAUGAAGCUAGCAACGACUGAGCUGGUAAAUGCAGAAGAGUCAAAUUAGGGGGAAAUCAUGAUUUGAUUUUGGACAAAUUAAAUUUGAGAUGCCUAUUAGGCAUUCAAGUGAAUAUGUCUAGUAUAGUAGGCAGUUAGCUCUAUGAGCCUGGAAUUCGGGAAAGACUUCCAGUUAGAGACAGAAAUUUGGGAGUGAUGUCUAGAAAGCAUGAGAGCCCACUUAGAAUUUGAAGUCAUGAAGCUUAAAAUGAAAUUUAUGGCAUCUAGGAUCAGUUGCUAGGGUGCGUAUUUAGAGAUGGAAAGUUGAAUUUAAUCUUGGUUCAGGUGUUUCCAGGUAAGUAUGAUGGUGGGAAAUGGAGUUGGGGAGUUGAGGAUGGGUUCCUAGGAGUGAUUAUAAUAAUGGUCUAUGCAAUCUAAGCAGGAUAAACAUGGAAAUGAGGAUAUAAGGGAGCAAAAAAUGGUGGGGAGGAUUGUUGGAGAGGUGGCAUUAAAGGGAAUUAGAAAAAGAGGAGAGUGGCAGGCUUAAAACUGAGAUUUUGGAGAGUUCCACCUGUGGUGCAGUGGAUUAACAAUCUGACUGCAGUGGCAUGGGUUGCUGUGGAGGUGAAGUUUCAAUCCCUGGCCUGGUGCAGUGGGUUGAAGGAUCUGGCAUUGCUGCGUAGCUGCAGCUGUGGCUUCAUUUGCUCUCUGGCCCAAGAAUUUCCAUAUGCUGCAGGUGCUGCCAUAAAAAGAUAAAAAAAUGAGAUUUUUAAGGUGAUGUGCUAAUUUGUAAUGAAAAGGGCUAGGAAAUGAGUAUGGGCAUGGGUGGCUGGGGUUGGUAAGAGGACAAGAUCUUUGAGUAGAAGUCAAGCAAUUGAGAGCCCAAGGUAUUAUAUGGAUUGUUUAUAAUGUAGACAAUGUAUGUAUGUAGACUCCACAUCGAUAUUGAAAUCUCCAAGAAUGAUUACAUGAGCAGUUGUGAGAAAGAGUGAGCUCUGAACUAAAGUCAUCAGUGGGUAAGGGAGCUUGAGCAGUAGGAGAGUGGAUAACUGCAACAAGGAGGCACAGUAGGCCGUAGAGUCUGAUAGCAAACCGACUGAAAGGAGCCAAGCCAGGGGGUUUAGGGAGGAUCCAUGGACAGAAAGUGCCAAGUAGGAGCAGGGGCACAUACCCCACCUCUGUGUUCAGUGGUACACUGGGCAUGAGAAAAACAUGGCCAGCACUUGAGAGGGUUGUACAGGAAGCAGGAUCCUCAGAGGGGAGCCAACUUCUUGAUAAACCAAGAAGUUCAAGGGAAGUUUUGGAGACGUUAGGGAUGUUGGGGAUUUUUCCAGAGAGCAGGAAAGAAGGGUUUGGAAGGCUUGGGGAGGGGUGGUAGACUGAGCCAGAUUAGGGGAUGUACAAAUUCAUUGUCAAGUGGAAAAGAAUGUGAGUGAUAAUGGGUGAUCCAGGUGGUUUGAACUUUUUGUGAUGACUGAGGGGAACGGGCAUUUAGAGCAUGAUGAGUCCUUGUGAUCUCUUGGCUGGGGACAGAUGGUCAGUUUGAAAUGUAGCCUCUUCUUGAGAAUGGUGUCUUUUGUAGUACCUAGUGGUUGAUAACAGCUACUAUGGGGGAAGUGGAGUGGUGGUGUCACAAGGAGCACGCGGAACAGUGGGCCCCUCUUUAAUCUUUUCCAGAGAGGUGUCAAACCUGGAGGAGGCUUGAUCUUACCAGGAGGGAUUGUAACCCUCAGGGCCUCCCUUUUAAUCCUGUUGGAUAAUUGCAAUACUUCCUUUAUUUCUUUUAUUUUUCAUAGGCUGCUCAUCACUUUAAAAUAGUACAGUAGCACAGUGGUGUUUGUUUUUAUAAAUAUGAUACAUGAUUAUUAUAAAAUAUUCAUCUAAUUGAGAAAAAUGAAGUUUUAAAAAAAGCCCUCCAUAAAUAACCAUCACACGGAGUUCCCGUCGUGGCGCAGUGGUUAACGAAUCCGACUAGGAACCAUGAGGUUGCGGGUUCGGUCCCUGCCCUUGCUCAGUGGGUUAACGAUCCGGCGUUGCCGUGAGCUGUGGUGUAGGUUGCAGACUCGGCUCGGAUCUCGCGUUGCUGUGGCUCUGGUGUAGGCCGGUGGCUACAGCUCCGAUUCAACCCCUGGCCUGGGAACCUCCAUAUGCCGCGGGAGCGGCCCAAGAAAUAGCAACAACAACAACAACAACAAAAAGACAAAAAGACAAAAAGACAGAAAAAAAAAAAAUAACCAUCACUAAAACUUGGUGAACAUCAUCUCAGACAGCUAUAUGAAUUUUACAUUUGUAGCUAUUUUAUAUGUUUGGGGGUUUCUUUUAAAUAAUAUGGAUCCGUUGUUAUAAACAGUUUGAAUUCUAUAGAUUUACUCUAAUUCUCUUUACAAAUGAGGACAUUGAGUUCUAGAGAUAGGAAAAGACCCGUCCAAGGUCAUUCGUUCAGCCAGUUAGAUCUAGGUCUCUUCACUCCCCAGUUCAGUGGGGUUUUUUUCCCCCCAUUAAACUAUACCCCUCCUUUCUUUAUUUACCAUUUACAUGACAACCACCUGCUCUCUUAUCAUAUAGAUAUCUGAGUGGCUCACUUUGUGUUUUGAUCUGAACAUUCAUUUAUUUAGUUGUUCAACAAAUAUUUAUCGAACACUUACUAUGUGUCAGGAAAAAAUGACAGCUGCUGGGGAUGUGGUGGUGAACAAAGCAGACAAGAUCUCUGACCUUGUGACACUUAUGUUCUACAGAAUGCACAGAAAGUUUAUGCUUCACUCCCCAACUUUUUCCAAUCAGGCCAAGACUCAUAUAACUAUGAUUUGUUUAUAACAUGAAAUCCUUCAGUGAUGAUGGGAAAACAAAAUGGAAGAUGUUUAGACUUAAAAUCAUACCACUAGCACGUGAGAGUAACAACUGAAUGGACGUUUCUCCAAAGAAGACAUACAGAUGCCAACAGACACAUGAAAAGAUCUUCAACAUCGGAGUUCCUGUUGUGGCCAAGUGGGUUAAGAACCCUACAUGGUGUCCAUGAGGGUGUGGGUUUGAUCCCUGACCUUGCUCAGUGGGUUAAAGAUCCAGCAUUGCUACAAGCUGCAGUGUUGGUUGUAGAUGUGGCUCAGAUCUGGUGUUUCCAUGGCUGUGGCAAAGGCUGCAGCUGCAGCUCUGAUUCAACCACUGGCCCAGGAACUUCCAUAUGCCUCAGGGGUGGCCAUAAAAAGGAAAAAAAACCCCAAAGGUGUUCAACAUCACUAAGCAUCAGGGAAAUGCAAAUCAAAACCACGAUGAGCUAGUACCUCACAUCUGUCAGAAUGCCUAUCCCUAAAAAGACAACAAAAUCAAAAGUUGGCAAGGAUGUAGAGAAAAGGAAACCCUUGUGCAGUGUUGAAGGGAAUGUAAAUUGGUACAACCAUUCUGGAAAACAAUACGGAGGGGUAUCUCAAAAAAUUAAAAGUAGAGCUACCAUAUGUUCCAGCAAUUCUACUUCUGGGUAUUUGUCCAAAGCAAAGGAAAACACUAAUUUGAAAACAUAUAUGCAACCUUAUGUUCAUUGCAGCAUUAUUUACAAUAGCCAAGAUAUGGAAGCAACCCAGCUGUCCACUAACAGAUGAAUGGAUAGAGAAGAUGUGAUAUAUAACUAUAUUUAUAAUGAAAUAUUACUCAGUUAUAAAAAAGAAUGAAAUUGUUCCAUUUGUGAUGACUUGGGUGGACCUAGAAGGUAUUAUACUAAGUGAAAUAAGUCACAGAGAAAGACAGGUACCAUAUGAUCUCAUUUAUAUGUGGAAUAUAAAAAACCAAACCAAUUGGGAGUUAUUGUCAUGGCUCAGCAGAAAUGAAUUUGACUGGUAUCCAUGAGGACGCAGGUUCUAUCCCUGGCUCCACUCAGUGGGUUAAGGAUCUGGUGUUGCCGUGAGCUGUGGCAUAGGCUGGCAGCGGUAGCUCUGAUUCAACCCCUAGCCUGGGAACCUCCAUAUACCACAGGUGUAGCC
rnacentral:lncRNA from 1 species